rnacentral:lncRNA from 1 species
UAAGUUUGUAUAUACAAUUACAAGAGGAUAUAUAUUUAGAGAGAAAACUAAGAUUAUAGUAAUGGAAGGUACUCAUUUUAAUUUAAAUAUUAUUAAUCUUGCCAGCAAACAAGCAUUGUGAUGCACCUUCUGAAAAUAUAGAACCUUGCCCUUUGCUCCUUAACAAGCCUAUUGCAUCUUCUUCCAAAGGAUCUCAAGGGUUCACAAACAUGCCUAUUACACAAGCCCUUAUCAUCAUUAUCUUCUAAUUGCUUCAUUUUCAUCCACCACUCUGAAUUUGUUGUUUCCUUCUUGAUGAUUUGGGUUGAAUUUCUCGCUGCUCACACUCUUCUUAUUGUUAUGUUGACUUUGUUUGCAUGUGUUGUAUGCAAAUUAAA